rnacentral:SRP_RNA from 1 species
GCUGGGUGCGGUGGUGCGUGCCUGUAGUCCCAGCUACUCUGGAGGCUGAGGUGGGAGGAUCGCUUGAGCCCAGGAGUUCUGGGCUGUAGUGCGCUAUGCUGAUCGGGUGUCCACACUAAGUUUGGCAUCAAUAUGGUGACCUCCAGGGAGCAGGGGACCACCAGCUUGCCUAAGGAGGGGUGAACUGGCCCAGGUUGGAAAUAAAGCUGUUCAAAACUCCUGUGCUGAUCAGUAGUGGGAUCGCACCUGUGAAUAGUCACUGCACUCCAGCCUGGGCAACAUAGCGAGACCCACAUCUCU